rnacentral:snRNA from 2 species
AUCCUUAUGCACGGGAAAUACGCAUAUCAGUGAGGAUUCGUCCGAGAUUGUGUUUUUGCUGGUUGAAAUUUAAUUAUAAACCAGACCGUCUCCUCAUGGUCAAUUCUGUGUUCGCUUUUGAACACUUCAGGACUAUGUAGGGAAUUUUUGGAAUACUUUU